rnacentral:piRNA from 1 species
UUCCAAGGAAUGAAUCUUGAAACUUUGGA